rnacentral:rRNA from 1 species
UACGUAGGGGGCAAGCGUUGUCCGGAAUCAUUGGGCGUAAAGCGAGCGUAGGCGGCCCGAUAAGUCUGCUGUGAAAGUCAACGGCUCAACCGUUGAAAGCCGGUGGAUACUGUCGGGCUAGAGUUCGGAAGAGGCAAGUGGAAUUCCUGGUGUAGCGGUGGAAUGCGCAGAUAUCAGGAGGAACACCGGUGGCGAAGGCGGGUCUCUGGGCAACAACUGACGCUGAGGAGCGAAAGCGUGGGGAGCGAACAGG